rnacentral:rRNA from 1 species
AUUGAACGCUGGCGGCAGGCCUAACACAUGCAAGUCGCACGAGAAAGGGCUUCGGCCUGAGUAGAGUGGCGGACGGGUGAGUAAUGCGUAGGAAUCUGUCUGGUAGUGGGGGAUAACGCG